AGAGUUUGAUCCUGGCUCAGGAUGAACGCUAGCUACAGGCUUAACACAUGCAAGUCGAGGGGCAGCAUCAUCAAAGCUUGCUUUGAUGGAUGGCGACCGGCGCACGGGUGAGUAACACGUAUCCAACCUGCCGACAACACUGGGAUAGCCUUUCGAAAGAAAGAUUAAUACCGGAUGGUAUAGUUUUCCCGCAUGGGAUGAUUAUUAAAGAAUUUCGGUUGUCGAUGGGGAUGCGUUCCAUUAGGCAGUUGGCGGGGUAACGGCCCACCAAACCUACGAUGGAUAGGGGUUCUGAGAGGAAGGUCCCCCACAUUGGAACUGAGACACGGUCCAAACUCCUACGGGAGGCAGCAGUGAGGAAUAUUGGUCAAUGGACGAGAGUCUGAACCAGCCAAGUAGCGUGAAGGAUGACUGCCCUAUGGGUUGUAAACUUCUUUUAUACGGGAAUAAAGUGAGCCACGUGUGGCUUUUUGUAUGUACCGUAUGAAUAAGGAUCGGCUAACUCCGUGCCAGCAGCCGCGGUAAUACGGAGGAUCCGAGCGUUAUCCGGAUUUAUUGGGUUUAAAGGGAGCGUAGGCGGGUUGUUAAGUCAGUUGUGAAA
rnacentral:rRNA from 1 species